rnacentral:rRNA from 1 species
GAUGAACGCUGGCGGCGUGCCUAAUACAUGCAAGUCGAGCGAACAGACCCUGUCCUUGCUCCUCUGACGUUACCCGCGGACGUGUGAGUAACAUGUGCUUAACCUACCUUUAAGACUGGGCUAACUUCCUGAAUCCGGUGCUAAUUCCGUAUUACUUCUUCAACCUCAUGGUUCAACAGUUACAGCCGUUCUUGCUGUCCCUUCUACCUGUUUCCGGGCCGCAUUAGUUAGUUGGUAAGGUAACGGCUUACCAUGGCAACGAUGCGUAGCCGACCGGCGAGGGGGAACGGGCACACGGGAACGGAGACACGGAACAGAGACCGACGGGAGGCAGCAGUAGGGAAUGGUCGGAAAUGGGGGAAAGCCUGACGGAGGAACGCCGCGUGAGUGAAGAAGGUCUGCGGAUCGGAAAACGCUGUUAUGAGGGAAGAACAAAUGUGUAAGUAACUAUGCACGUCUUGACGGUACCUAAAGAGAAAGCAACGGCUAACUACGUG